AAAUGAAUUGACGGGGGCCCGCACAAGCGGUGGAGCAUGUGGUUUAAUUCGACGCAACGCGCAGAACCUUACCAGCCCUUGACAUGGCGGUCACACCCGGUGCGAGCCGGGGUGGGGCAACCCGACCGUCACAGGUGCUGCAUGGCUGUCGUCAGCUCGUGUCGUGAGAUGUUGGGUUAAGUCCCGCAACGAGCGCAACCCUUGCCUUCAGUUGCCAUCGGGUUUGGCCGGGCACUCUGAAGGAACUGCCGGUGACAAGCCGGAGGAAGGUGGGGAUGACGUCAAGUCCUCAUGGCCCUUAUGGGCUGGGCUACACACGUGCUACAAUGGCGGUGACAGAGGGCAGCGAGGGGGCGACCCGGAGCUAAUCCUUCAAAAGCCGUCUCAGUUCGGAUCGCGGGCUGCAACUCGCCCGCGUGAAGGUGGAAUCGCUAGUAAUCGCGGAUCAGCACGCCGCGGUGAAUACGUUCCCGGGCCUUGUACACACCGCCCGU
rnacentral:rRNA from 1 species